UACGAAGGGGGCUAGCGUUGCUCGGAAUCACUGGGCGUAAAGCGCACGUAGGCGGCUUUUUAAGUCAGAGGUGAAAUCCUGGAGCUCAACUCCAGAACUGCCUUUGAUACUGGAGAGCUUGAGUCCGGGAGAGGUGAGUGGAACUGCGAGUGUAGAGGUGAAAUUCGUAGAUAUCGAGAGGAACACCGGUGGCGAAGGCGGCCUUCUGGACAGUGACUGACGCUGAGACGCGAAGGCGUGGGGAGCAAACAGG
rnacentral:rRNA from 1 species